ACGAACGCUGGCGGCAUGCCUAAUACAUGCAAGUCGAGCGAACGGAUGAGGAGCUUGCUCCUCUGACGUUAGCGGCGAAUGGGUGAGUAACACGUGGGCAACCUGCCCUGUAGUUGGGGAUAACUCCGGGAAACCGGGGCUAAUACCGAAUGAUUAAUUCUUUCUCAUGAAAGGAUUCUGAAAGACGGCUUCGGCUGUCGCUACGGGAUGGGCCCGCGGCGCAUUAGCUAGUUGGUAAGGUAACGGCUUACCAAGGCGACGAUGCGUAGCCGACCUGAGAGGGUGAUCGGCCACACUGGGACUGAGACACGGCCCAGACUCCUACGGGAGGCAGCAGUAGGGAAUCAUCCACAAUGGACGAAAGUCUGAUGGUGCAAUGCCGCGUGAGCGAAGAAGGUUUUCGGAUCGUAAAGCUCUGUUAUGAGGGAAGAACAAGUACAAGAGUAACUGCUUGUACCUUGACGGUACCUCAUUAGAAAGCCACGGCUAACUACGUG
rnacentral:rRNA from 1 species